AUUGAACGCUGGCGGCAGGCCUAACACAUGCAAGUCGAGCGGAUGAUGGGGGCUUGCUCCCGGAUUCAGCGGCGGACGGGUGAGUAAUGCCUAGGAAUCUGCCUGGUAGUGGGGGACAACGUUUCGAAAGGAACGCUAAUACCGCGUACGUCCUACGGGAGAAAGCAGGGGACCUUCGGGCCUUGCGCUAUCAGAUGAGCCUAGGUCGGAUUAGCUAGUUGGUGGGGUAAAGGCCUACCAAGGCGACGAUCCGUAACUGGUCUGAGAGGAUGAUCAGUCACACUGGAACUGAGACACGGUCCAGACUCCUACGGGAGGCAGCAGUGGGGAAUAUUGGACAAUGGGCGAAAGCCUGAUCCAGCCAUGCCGCGUGUGUGAAGAAGGUCUUCGGAUUGUAAAGCACUUUAAGUUGGGAGGAAGGGCAGUAAGUUAAUACCUUGCUGUUUUGACGUUACCAACAGAAUAAGCACCGGCUAACUUCGUGCCAGCAGCCGCCGUAAGAC
rnacentral:rRNA from 1 species